UACAUAUAUUUCAAACUAUUUAUUUUUUUACUCGUACAUAAUGGUACAUAGAUAUGUUUUUGUUUCAGUCUAGUAAUCUUUGUUGUAACCUUCUGACAAUACAAUGUGUGUGAUUUCUCUAUGUGUCUACAUAUAUGAAACAGGGCAGGGUAGCCUGGUGGUUAGAGGGCAGGUGGGUAACCCUGGUGGUUAGAGGGCAGGGCAGGGUACCCUGGUGGUAAGGGAGGCAGGUACCUGGUGGUUAGAGGGCGGGCAGUGGUAGCCUGGUGGUUAGAGGGCAGGGUAGGGUACCCUGGUGGUUAGAGGGCAGGCAGUAGGGUAGCAUGGUGUUAGAGGGCAGGGAGGGUACCUGGUGGUUAGAGGGCAGGGUAGGGUAACCUGGUGGUUAGAGGGCAGGGAGGGUACCCUGGUGGUAGGGCAGGGCAGGGUACCCUGGGGUUAGAGGGCCGGGUACUGGUGGUUAGAGCAGGGUAGGUUGACCAUGUGGUGGUUAGAGCAGGGCAGACCUGGUGGUUGGGGGGUAGGGUACCCUGGUGGUUUAGAGGGCAGGGUAGGGUACCCUGGUGGUUAGAGGGGCAGGGAGGUACCUGGUGGUUAGAGGGGCAGGGUAGUCCCUGGUGGUUAGAGGGCAGGGUAGCCUGGUGGUUAGAGGGCAGGGUAGGGUCGCAUGGGGUUUGAGGGUCAGGGCAGGGUAGGCUGGUGGUUAGGGGCAGGGUAGGGUAGCCUGGUGGUUAGAGGGCAGGGUAGGUAGCCUGGUGGUUAGAGGGCAGGUAGGGCAGGGUUAGGGUAGCCUGGUGGUUAGAGGCAGGGGUAGGGUACCCUGGUGGUUAGAGGGCAGGGCAGGGUACCUGGUGGUUAGAGGGCAGGGUCAGGGUAGCUGGUGGUUAAGCGGCAGCGUAGGGUCAGCCUGGUGGUUAGAGCCGUGCAGGAGGGU
rnacentral:lncRNA from 1 species